AUGGGCGACCACAUGACCGUCUUCCGCUCACUCCGCGAGCUCUUCCCUCAGGUUGAUCCCCGCAUGCUGAAGGCUGUCGCGAUAGAGCACCAUAAAGAUGCCGAUUCCGCUGUGGUCGCCGUCCUUGACGAAGUCAUGCCAUCUAUGAUAGGUUCGGUCGAAGUCUCUAGCGUCCAUCAGGAGGCUGCGGUAUCUAAGGACGAAUUUUUCAGAAGAUUAACUGUGAAUCACAAUGCGCGUGAAACAGGAAGUUCAUCAUCUGCUGGUCCAGUCGGAAUUUCUAGUGCCCAUCAUGAACCUGCAGAAUUUACGAAAGAUUUAUUCAGAAAUUUAUCUGCUAAUCAUACUGUGGGUGAGACGGGAACUUCAUCAUCUGCUGAACCUUUCCCGUUUUCUGAAGUUAUGCUAAUGAAUGGAGUCAAAUCAGGUUCUGAUAUUCAUGUUGAUGAAGCUAAGGGAAAUGUUGAUUUUGCAAUCACAACUGACGUGCAAGAAAAUGUUGUGGGUGAACUAGAUGUGACUUCAUCAUUACAACUGAUGAAUGGACAACUAGAUUUCCCUUCCUGUUCUGUGCCUGCACUUAAUGAUAAGCGCUGUGAUUUGGCCGUUCAAGAUUUCUUAAACGCAUGUAAUGGUCGGUCUUUGUGGAGUGAAUACAUUGAUGAAUCACUCCUGGGGAAAAAUGGCAAUGACAGCAUAAAUCUUAAUGUUGCUCAAGUCCAUGCGCAUGAUGUGGACAUCACAGGCCCAUUUGGGGAAUCCAUCUCUGACGCUGAACAUCAGCAGCGCACUAUGACCCUUGAAGAUUUCUUAAAAUCGUGUUAUUCAGAUCAUUCAGCUAAUCAAGUUGGAAAUGGUGGAUCUUUAUCAAGUGAAUAUAUUGUUCAAUCACUCAUGAUGGAAAAUGGGAGCAACAGCAUAAAUCUUAAUGUUGCACAAGUCCAAGAGCAAGAUUUUGACAUCACAGUCCCAGUUGGCGAUUGCAUUUCCCAGGAUAAUCCUUUGAAGCUUCCUUGUUAUCAUGCAGAUGUGGAUAACUCCUUUUGUUCCAAGACUUCUACUGGUGUUCCUGAAUGUGUAGUCUCACCUAAAUUUCCCAGUACUGAAAAAGACACCCUUGCACCUGCGCUGGAUUUUCCUAUUCCAGACACCCAAGAAUCCUUUGUUGGUUCUGGUGGAGUCUUAGUACAAAUGGAUAACAAUUGUGCUGAUGUUGAUUACAACUCUGAGGAUAGAGUUGAGCAUGGUGACACAUUCUUGUCUUCUUCAAGUGAGUUGCUUCCUGAUUUGAAUUCGAAUCACUUUGCCUCCAUGGCUUCAACUCAUUCAAGCUACUCUGUUAGUAUUGAGUCACUUGCGGAUUCCAUUGCUGAUGCAAAAAACAAAAAGAACGAUCUGUUACCCUCACUUGAGCUGGUUACUAAGAUGAUAGAGGAUGUAGAACUUCUUGAAGAAAAAGCUAAAGUAGCCAAGCGUGAAUCAUCUAUUUCUGGUACAAGCAUUCUCACCAAAGUUGAGGAGCUCAAAGAAAUGUUGAAUCAUGCAAAAGAAGCAAAUGAUAUGCAUGCUGGUGAGGUUUUCGGUGAGAGAUCUAUUUUGACCACGGAGGCGCGGGAGCUCCAAUCUCGACUUCAGCGGCUGUCAGACGAGAGGAAUAGUUAUCUAGUUGUUAUUGAAGAGAUACGGCAAACUCUCGAGGAAAGAUUGGUUGCUGCACAACAGGAAUAUGAAGCAGCUGUGAAGGAAAAAGACGAAAAGGAAGCUUCUGCUCAGGCACUACUUAGUGAACAGGAAAAGGAGAUGAAUUCCAUUGUUGAAGAAUCAAGAAAGUUGCAGAAAGAAGCGGAGGAGAAUUUGAAGCUGAAGGAGUUCUUGGUUGAGCGGGGUCGAAUUGUUGAUACACUACAAGGUGAGAUGGCUGUCAUUUGCGAGGAUGUGUCUCAACUCAAGCAAAUAGUGGAUGAGCGCUUAUCUUGGAGCAAGUUGCAGCGCUCAACAAUGUCAAGUCUCUCCUCUUCGCUGCAUUCUUCGCUUCACAGGAGUGCUAGUUCGUCAGACAGGACCACUGAAGCCGUCGAGUCUAAAGAUAAACAUACAGUCGCUGAAGUUGCAAGGCCAGUGUCUGAGGAUUCGGAUGUUGAUGGGAGAAAGGUUGAAAUGUUAGAUGGCUGUGACAGUGAAGGUUCAAGCUCAGUGGGUGAAGACAACAGCAAGCAGCGGGGUUCCAACGAGGAUGGCUGGGAACUGUGCUGA
rnacentral:rRNA from 1 species